AUUGAACGCUGGCGGCAUGCCUUACACAUGCAAGUCGAACGGCAGCACGGGUGCUUGCACCUGGUGGCGAGUGGCGACCGGGUGAGUAAUACAUCGGAACAUGUCCUGUAGUGGGGGAUAGCCCGGCGAAAGCCGGAUUAAUACCGCAUACGAUCCACGGAUGAAAGCGGGGGACCUUCGGGCCUCGCGCUAUAGGGUUGGCCGAUGGCUGAUUAGCUAGUUGGUGGGGUAAAGGCCUACCAAGGCGACGAUCAGUAGCUGGUCUGAGAGGACGACCAGCCACACUGGGACUGAGACACGGCCCAGACUCCUACGGGAGGCAGCAGUGGGGAAUUUUGGACAAUGGGCGAAAGCCUGAUCCAGCAAUGCCGCGUGUGUGAAGAAGGCCUUCGGGUUGUAAAGCACUUUUGUCCGGAAAGAAAUCCUUGGCUCUAAUACAGUCGGGGGAUGACGGUACCGGAAGAAUAAGCACCGGCUAACUACGUG
rnacentral:rRNA from 1 species